UUGUCAUUAGGGAAUCCUACGUACCAGCGACACGGUUCGAAGUUCCAGAGUAUUCCUGCCCAGCCUGGGCAGGCUUCUGCUUUGCUCCCGUACUUUGGAAUCCUCCUUGACCAGGGUCAGCUUAAUAAACUUGAAUCCUUAGAUCUUUGCCGUCCAGUUCUUUAGCAGGGGCCAAGCAACUCUUAGAAAAGCGACUGAAGGAAGACAAGGUACAAACACUUGUGAAAUCGUAGCCCCUAGCACUGUUUGAGAACUAGGUCACAGGCUCACUACUUCCCUGCUCCUAAUCUUACCUUGUCCCUUUGGCACACCACAGCUAGAGUGUUCAGAAGAACUUAGAGAUUUGGUCAAAACUGCUGACCCUACACUCGCUGUGAGUGUGUACCUUUGGGCAAAUGUGCCAAGCAAAGUUAUCCAGUGUUUUGUAGAAACAGGCCAAUUCCAAAAACUUGUGCUCUAUGCCAAAAAGGUUGGCUAUGCCCCAGACUGGAUCUUUUUGCUGAAGAGUGUGAUGAGGAUCAGUCCAGACCAGGGCCUGCAGUUUUCUCAAAUGCUCAUGCAGGAUGAGGAGUCAUUGGGCAACAGUAACCAGAUUGUAGACGUUUUCAUGGAAAACAGUUUAAUUCAGCAGUGUACUUCCUUCUUGUUGGAUGCCUUGAAGAAUAAUCGCCCAUCUGAGGGGCUCCUCCAGACUCGCCUGUUGGAGAUGAACUUGAUUCAUGCAC